GAUGAACGCUGGCGGCGUGCCUAAUACAUGCAAGUCGAGCGAACAGACGAGGAGCUUGCUCCUCUGACGUUAGCGGCGGACGGGUGAGUAACACGUGGAUAACCUACCUAUAAGACUGGGAUAACUUCGGGAAACCGGAGCUAAUACCGGAUAAUAUAUUGAACCGCAUGGUUCAAUAGUGAAAGACGGUUUUGCUGUCACUUAUAGAUGGAUCCGCGCCGCAUUAGCUAGUUGGUAAGGUAACGGCUUACCAAGGCAACGAUGCGUAGCCGACCUGAGAGGGUGAUCGGCCACCCUGGAAGUGAGACACGGUCCAGACUCCUACGGGAGGAAGCAGUAGGGAAUCUUCCGGAAUGGGCGAAAGCCUGACGGAGCAAAGCCGCGUGAGUGAUGAAGGUCUUCGGAUCGUAAAACUCUGUUAUUAGGGAAGAACAAAUGUGUAAGUAACUAUGCACGUCUUGACGGUACCUAAUCAGAAAGCCACGGCUAACUACGUG
rnacentral:rRNA from 1 species